rnacentral:rRNA from 1 species
UACGUAGGGUGCAAGCGUUAAUCGGAAUUACUGGGCGUAAAGCGUGCGCAGGCGGUUUUGUAAGUCUGUCGUGAAAGCCCCGGGCUUAACCUGGGAACUGCGUUUGAAACUGGGAGACUUGAGUGUGGCAGAGGGGGGUGGAAUUCCACGUGUAGCAGUGAAAUGCGUAGAUAUGUGGAGGAACACCAAUGGCGAAGGCAGCCCCCUGGGUCAACACUGACGCUCAUGCACGAAAGCGUGGGGAGCAAACAGG